GACGAACGCUGGCGGCGUGCUUAACACAUGCAAGUCGAACGAUGAAGCCGGAGCUUGCUCUGGUGAAUUAGUGGCGAACGGGUGAGUAACACGUGAGUAACCUGCCCUUGACUCUGGGAUAACUGCGGGAAACUGUAGCUAAUACCGGAUACGACCCUCGGAGGCAUCUCCUGGGGGUGGAAAGAAUUUCGGUCAAGGAUGGACUCGCGGCCUAUCAGCUAGUUGGUGAGGUAAAGGCUCACCAAGGCGACGACGGGUAGCCGGCCUGAGAGGGUGACCGGCCACACUGGGACUGAGACACGGUCCAGACUCCUACGGGAGGCAGCAGUGAGGAAUCUUCCACAAUGGGCGAAAGCCUGAUGGAGCAACGCCGCGUGCAGGAUGAAGGCCUUCGGGUCGUAAACUGCUUUUAUGAGUGAAGAAUAUGACGGUAACUCAUGAAUAAGCACCGGCUAACUACGUGCCAGCCGCCGCAGUAA
rnacentral:rRNA from 1 species